rnacentral:rRNA from 1 species
UACGUAGGUGGCAAGCGUUGUCCGGAUUUACUGGGCGUAAAGGGCUUGUAGGCGGUUUGUUAAGUCUGGUGUGAAAUCUCCCGGCUCAACCGGGAGGGGUCAUCGGAUACUGGCAGACUAGAGACGGGUAGAGGAAAGCAGAAUUCCCGGUGUAGCGGUGAAAUGCGUAGAUAUCGGGAGGAAUACCAGUGGCGAAGGCGGCUUUCUGGGCCUGUUCUGACGCUGAGGAGCGAAAGCGUGGGGAGCAAACAGG